rnacentral:rRNA from 1 species
GACGAACGCUGGCGGCGUGCCUAAUACAUGCAAGUCGAACGCAGUGGGGACGGGUGAGUAACACGUGGGUAACCUCCCAUCAGAGGGGAUAACACUUGGAAACAGGUGCUAAACCGAUACUGAUGGAUGAACCCGCGGUGCAUGAGCUCGUUGGUGUGGUAACGGCCCACCAAGGCCACGAUGCUUAGCCGACCUGAGAGCGUGAACGGCCACACGGGAACUGAGACACGGCCCAGACUCCUACGGGAGGCAGCAGUAGGGAAUCUUCGGCAAUGGACGAAAGUCUGACCGAGCAACGCCGCGGGAGUGAAGAAGGUUUUCGGAUCGUAAAACUCUGUUGUUAGAGAAGCGGUAUCUAACCAGAAAGCCACGGCUAACUACGUGCCAGAAGCCGCGGGAAUAC